rnacentral:rRNA from 1 species
UACGUAGGGUGCGAGCGUUGUCCGGAAUUAUUGGGCGUAAAGGGCUCGUAGGCGGUUUGUCGCGUCGGGGAGUGAAAAUCCAGGGCUUAACUCUGGACUGGCUUCCGAUACGGGCAGACUAGAGGUAUGCAGGGGAGAACGGAAUUCCUGGUGUAGCGGUGAAAUGCGCAGAUAUCAGGAGGAACACCGGUGGCGAAGGCGGGUCUCUGGACUGAUACUGACGCUGAGGUGCGAAAGCGUGGGGAGCAAACAGG